UGAGAUAGUUGUGCGCCUGCGGGAAAGAAAUUUCACGAGGAAAGUCCGAGCUUCGCGUAGCGUAGUGCCGGUUAACGGCCGGUGGAGGCGACUCUAAGGAAAGUGCAACAGAAAAUAACCGCAACUUAGUUUGUAAGGAUGAAAAGGCGAGGUAAGAGCUCACCGUCCCUUCGGUAACGCGGGGAGCAGUGUAAACCCCACUUGAAGCAAGAUAGGAGUGUGCAAAAUACGGAGCUAUGACGGGCACACUUGUUUUAUUCGCUUGAGCCGUGCAGUAAUGUACGGCCUAGAUAGAUAGGCGCAUUAAAUGACAGAACUCGGCUUACAGACUGUCUCAAUAU
rnacentral:RNase_P_RNA from 1 species